GCCUGUUUGGUCCUGUGGUUAGAGGGCUAGGCUGAUGAACCAGAGGUUGCGGGUUUGAUUCCCCCCAGCUGCUA